rnacentral:rRNA from 1 species
AGAGUUUGAUCCUGGCUCAGGAUGAACGCUAGCGGCAUGCUUAACACAUGCAAGUCGAACGAACUAUUUAUAGUUAGUGGCAGACGGGUGAGAAACGCGUGGGAACGUACCCCAAAGUUCGGAAUAACUAUUGGAAACGAUAGCUAAUACCGGAUGUGACCGAGAGGUUAAAGGUUUACCGCUUUGGGAGCGGCCCGCGUUAGAUUAGCUAGUUGGUAGGGUAAAGGCCUACCAAGGCAAUGAUCUAUAGCUGGUCUGAGAGGAUGACCAGCCACACUGGGACUGAGACACGGCCCAGACUCCUACGGGAGGCAGCAGUGAGGAAUAUUGGUCAAUGGGCGCAAGCCUGAACCAGCCAUGCCGCGUGCAGGAUGAAGCAUCUAUGGUGUGUAAACUGCUUUUAUACGGGAAGAAACCCUGCCACGUGUGGCAGAUUGACGGUACCGUAAGAAUAAGGACCGGCUAACUCCGUGCCAGCAGCCGCGGUAAUACGGAGGGUCCAAGCGUUAUCCGGAAUCAUUGGGUUUAAAGGGUCCGUAGGCGGCCCGGUAAGUCAGUGGUGAAAUCUCCCCGCUCAACGGGGAAACGGCCAUUGAUACUGCCGGGCUUGAAUUACCAGGAAGUAACUAGAAUAUGUAGUGUAGCGGUGAAAUGCUUAGAUAUUACAUGGAAUACCAAUUGCGAAGGCAGGUUACUACUGGUAUAUUGACGCUGAUGGACGAAAGCGUGGGUAGCGAACAGGAUUAGAUACCCUGGUAGUCCACGCCGUAAACGAUGGAUACUAGCUGUUGGGAGCGAUCUCAGUGGCUAAGCGAAAGUGAUAAGUAUCCCACCUGGGGAGUACGAACGCAAGUUUG